rnacentral:rRNA from 1 species
UACAGGGGGGGCAAGCGUUGUUCGGAAUUACUGGGCGUAAAGGGCCAGUAGGCGGCCAACUAAGUCCGACGUGAAAUCCCCAGGCUUAACCUGGGAACUGCGUCGGAUACUGGAUGGCUUGAAUUCGGGAGAGGGAUGCAGAAUUCCAGGUGUAGCGGUGAAAUGCGUAGAUAUCUGGAGAAUACCGGUGGCGAAGGCGGCAUCCUGGACCGACAUUGACGCUGAACGGCGAAAGCUAGGGGAGCAAACGGG